AGGAAUGUAGAACAAGGGAAGUUCACCCCUUUUUGGUAGGGGUAGUCGGAGUUCGAGUCUUCGCGUUCCUA